AGCUCCAGGGUAUUUGACAGGACCGAGGGCGGACGCAAAGGACGCGGAGGACCUCUGGGUGCCUGCAGGGGAGCUGCUCCAGCAGGGCCGCCGGGAGCGGUGGAGAGAGCAUCGCGGAGCUGCCCCUCCACGCGCCUGCCGGGCCGCGAUCGCCCUCGGGGCUCUCCUGGUAGCAGUGCCAGGGCGCAGGGCGCGGCUGAUCUCCCGCCCCCGCCACCUCCGCCACCAUGCUGCUCCCCCAGCUCUGCUGGCUGCUGCUGCUCGCGGUGCUGCUCCAGCUGGUGCCCGCGCAGAAGUUCUCGGCGCUCACGUUUUUGAGAGUUGAUCAAGAUAAAGACAAGGAUUGUAGCUUGGACUGUGCGGGUUCGCCUCAGAAACCUCUCUGUGCAUCUGACGGAAGGACCUUCCUUUCCCGUUGUGAAUUUCAACGUGCCAAGUGCAAAGACCCCCAGCUAGAGAUUGCGUAUCGAGGAAACUGCAAAGACGUGUCCAGGUGUGUGGCCGAAAGGAAGUACACCCAGGAGCAAGCCCGGAAGGAGUUUCAGCAAGUGUUCAUUCCGGAGUGCAAUGACGACGGCACCUACAGUCAGGUCCAGUGUCACAGCUACACGGGAUACUGCUGGUGCGUCACGCCCAACGGGAGGCCCAUCAGCGGCACCGCCGUGGCCCACAAGACGCCCCGGUGCCCGGGUUCCAUAAAUGAAAAGUUACCGCAACGCGAAGGCACAGGAAAAACAGUCUCCUUGCAAAUCUUUUCCGUUCUGAAUUCAGAUGAUGCCGCGGCUCCGGCGUUGGAGACUCAGCCUCAAGGAGAUGAAGAAGAUAUUGCAUCACGUUACCCUACCCUUUGGACUGAACAGGUUAAAAGUCGGCAGAACAAAACCAAUAAGAAUUCAGUGUCAUCCUGUGACCAAGAGCACCAGUCUGCCCUGGAGGAAGCCAAGCAGCCCAAGAACGACAACGUGGUGAUCCCUGAGUGUGCACAGGGCGGCCUCUACAAGCCAGUGCAGUGCCACCCCUCCACGGGGUACUGCUGGUGCGUCCUGGUGGACACCGGGCGCCCCAUUCCCGGCACAUCCACAAGGUAUGAGCAGCCGAAAUGUGACAACACGGCCAGGGCCCACCCAGCCAAAGCCCGGGACCUGUACAAGGGCCGCCAGCUACAAGGUUGCCCGGGUGCCAAAAAGCAUGAGUUUCUGACCAGUAUUCUGGACGCGCUGUCCACAGACAUGGUCCACGCUGUCUCCGACCCCUCCUCCUCGUCAGGCAGGCUCUCGGAACCCGACCCCAGUCACACCCUAGAGGAGCGAGUGGUGCACUGGUACUUCAAACUACUCGAUAAAAACUCCAGUGGAGACAUCGGCAAAAAGGAAAUCAAACCCUUCAAGAGGUUCCUUCGCAAAAAAUCAAAGCCCAAAAAAUGCGUGAAGAAGUUUGUUGAAUACUGUGAUGUGAAUAAUGACAAAUCCAUCUCGGUACAAGAACUGAUGGGCUGCCUGGGUGUGGCUAAAGAGGACGGCAAAGCAGACACCAAGAAGCGCCACAGAAGCAAGAGAAUCCUAUGAUGGCCAGAGCCCAAGUGUUCUCAGGAGGCAAGCCAGGAAAACCCAGCCCCCAGAGGUAAUGCUGAAAGUACGUCUAAUAGACAGCCAAGGAAACAAGGAUAAAUGGCUCCCACAGCGAAGGCAGUUCCUAGACACGUGGGAAAUCCCCUCACCAACGAGCAAUUAAGAAAACAGAAACAGAAACACGUAGUAUUUGCACUUUGUACUUUAAAUGUAAAUUCACUUUGUAGAAAUGAGAUAUUUAAACAGACUGUUUUAAUCUGUGAAAACGGAGAGCUGGCUUCAGAAGAUUAAUCACAUACAAUGUAUGUGUCCUCUUUUGACCUUGGAAAUCUGUAUGUGGUGGAGAUGUAUUUGAAUGCAUUUAGGCUUAAUUUCUUCGCCUUCCACAUGUUAACAGUAGAGCUCUAGGCACUCUGGUUGCAAUCCUAUGGCUUUCCCUAACCCCUGCAGUCACUUCCAGACGGCUGUGCUUACAGCAUUGUGGAAUCAUGUUGGAAGCUCCACAUUUCCAUGGAAGGUUGUGAUGUACGGUUGACCCUUCAGGCAGUUAAUAUACACGGGCUGGUUUGUUUCUUGGGGUUUUCUGUUAGUUUGUCUUGUUUUGCUUUCCAGAGAUCUUGCUCGUACAAUGAAUCAUGCAACCACUAAAGCUAUCCAGUUAAGUACAGGUAGUUCCCCUGGAGGAAAUACGAUUUCCAAACUGUCUUUGGUGUGACACUUUGGCUCAAAGGAUGUUUGCUUUUCCAUUUUAAGCUUCUGUUUGAGUUUUGCCCUGGGGCUCGAGCGAGUCCUGGAGAGUCGUUCCUGAUGGUGGGAGGCUCCCUAGGAGGGGCCCAUCCUUCCAAAAUGUAAAGCCAGUCACGGUGUGACCGAGCUAGCUAACAGGCUUGUCUGCUGGGUUUUUCUCCUACACGAUCCUCCUACCUGGUCCACCCCAGGGCUACCGGAAGGUAAAGUCUUCACCUGAACCAAUUAUGAGCAGUCUCCUUACUGAAGGCACAGCCAGAUCCAUGGUGCCCCCUGGGCUGGUGUUGGCAGCCGGGGAGAAAUGCCUGCGGGUCCCCACGGUUCCUUUCUGCUUUUCUGAACGCAUCAAGGGUACAAGAACUUGCCAAUGGGAAAUUCAUCUGAGUGGCACUGGCAGAGAAGGAUAGGAGCGGAAUGCCCACACGGUGACUAACGGAACUGGCCUGUGUGCACAGCCAGCUGCCCCGCUCAGGCCUGGGUCCGGAGCUCAGGGCGCCCUCUGUCUGUAGGAACUGUUUGGAGGACAGUCUGAGAGUGGAAACUUCCAUGUGAUUCUAUCUCGGCUCAGACUGUUGGUUGGAGAAACAUCUUCGAGGCCCCAAAUCCCCUGAGACGUGCCUUGUAGAAUGACGUUUGUGAGGUUGGGAUGCUUGUGGAGCAUCGCAUAAGGCUUCUUCCUUAUUUAAACUGUGCAAGGUAAAAAUCAAGCCUUUGGAGCCACAGAACCAGCUCAAGUACAUGCCAAUGUUGUUUAAGAAACAGUUAUGAUCCUAAACUUUUUGGAUAAUCUUUUGUAUUUCUGACCUUUGAAUUUAAUCAUUUUUCUUAGAUUAAAAUAAAAUAUGCUAUUAAAACUA